UAUAUUAUUUAAAUAUUAUAUAUUUUUAAUACUUUUUAUUCAUUUGAAAUAUUUUAUCUAAUUAUCCUGAAUAUUCUUAUAUCUUUCAAUAUUUAAAAUAUAUACUCAUAUAUAAUAUCACACAAUUAUAUUAUAUUUUAAAUUUAUCUAAAUUUAUAAAAUAAGCUAAAAUAUAAACUAAUCCAAAAAAUCAAAAAAAUCAAAUAAAGAUUUUAUAAUUCUCUUCCAUGAUAGUUCUCCUACAUUACAUCAUAUAUCAAUUUUUCUAUAUUUUUUCUAUAUAUCAAUUAUUUAAAUAUUAUAAUUUUUAAUUUAUUUUAUUUAUGUUAAAUAUUUUCUUAAAUUUUUUUACAUUAAUUAAUUAUUAUAUUUUCACAUACCAAAUUAUAUUUGUACACAUAUUUUAAUAUAUAUAUAUACAAUAUAAUAUAUACAUAUAUACUGAAUAUAUAAUAGAUAUAUUCACGUUUAUAUUUGUUGACGCGGUUUUUCGCCAACAGGUAAUUAAGAGAAGGAGAGAAAGGGAUUAGUGCCAAACGUAGAACCGUAACAGAUAUAAGAUCUUAGAGAAUGAAAUAGGUGACUCAAGACACGUUUUUAAGUGGUUCAAAGGUUAAAAUCCUUCUACUCCACUAGUCAAUAUUAUUGAUAUAUUCUGGAUAUUGGGUUACAAAGUAUAUAUCUCUCCAGGGACUAUUUUUUCUAACCCUUAUCAACUCCCAAGGUCUCCAUAUUUAUAGGAGAAGGCACCUGGAAGUUGGUAAGGAGGUCAUCCCGUGACCUUCUUAUUUGUCAUAUCAACUCUGUGACAUUCAUGAUUAAUUCCUAAACCUGACACAUAAGUGUGGUCAAAUCGAUAGCUUAAGGAGAUAAUGGGCCGCACGGCCCAACCCAGCCAUGGGUGUCUGAACACGCACGUUCCUACUGCGUGUCCGAGAAGUCAGGGAGAUAUCGGACACGUGAUGUCAGAUAUAUGCACGUUUAUCUUGCGUGUGUUGACUUUACAAGGGGUCAUAGCCUCCCUAUCUAGCUCGUACGACGAGCUGCGCAUUUUACUCGACCUUCGGCCUUCUGAUUCCUUGCUCCAGUCUUGGCAAGUCUUUGAGGAUUCCCCGAGCUAAGGGGGGGACGACCUCAAGACAGGAGCUCCAGUCUGGGGGAUGUUUAUGGACUAACCAUGAUUAGUCCGAAGCUCGGCCUGCUAAUCAGCUCGUGGGAAAAUCAGGGCGUACAUCUGCCCCCCAAGCUCCUACUCGUGGUAUAUGACGUCGCGUAUAAGACCACAGUAGGGGCUUUUAGACUUCCCCACAAACUCUUCGCAUUCCACUCUUUAUGCAGGCGCCUGAUACGUGGAACAUCGUGGGUGGUGACGGUACGUCUUACGAGAACCGCAUUUAAUGGCCUAGCCUAUGCCCAGCCGUCGUUUCGUAUUUCGAGUGGAGGGCCUCAGAUCCCUCAUCAGGGCCAUCCAAGAGCCUUCUACACGUGAUCCUUCACGCAUAUAAAAAGGGGGUGGUCACCCUACGCACGGGCCACCCUUUCAUUCGAAAUUUUCCAAACCUCUUUUCCUCUUUCCUCUCCAUAUUCCCAAAGAACGAAACCCUCGACUCUGUUGCUGCCAUUUUCAUCGUUCAGGAAGCUUAGGCAUACGGAUUUCUCCGAAGCUUUGGAAGCUACUACACUGACGAAGCUCCUACCAACGCAACACUCUCGUCUACCUCCCAGCCAUACUGUAAGUUUCCUGACCCUGUGUGCUUUGAAAACAUGCUACUGUAGCUUAGGUAAAAUUUUUUACUGUAGCCGCAUGCAAGGGUUUUCUGGGUUUUGUGGAUAUGGAGGGUGACAACCUUUUUAGGUUAGGGUAUAUUUGUUGUAGGAAAUCGCUUUAGAAUAUGGGUUUCAGGAUGCCUUUCCUGGGAAAAUUUCUGGGUAAGAGUUUUGGGAAUUUUUGGGUGCAAAACCGGGUAGCUUAGGGAACACGCCUCACAAGCGGUUUUGCAAUUUUCUGCCUACUGAAACUUUCCCCCCAAGGAAAAUUCUAUUCUGAACCUCCUGACACACGAAUUCCGAGUAAUCGGGGAUCUGUUGGGAGUAUGAACGCGUGUUCACUGAACCGCGUGGCUCCACUCUUCACGGGCUGGGCUUACCUCAGCUCGUGCAAGUAAUAAUUGCUUAUUCCUCCAGCUUGAGUCGCCUUUUCUAAAGUGUUUUCUUUUGUUCGUUAGGCGACCAGAUGGCUCCAAAAAGGAAUCUCCCCCAGAAGAACGUUGGAAGCUCGGCCUCCCAGCAGGAGAAAGGAAAGGCGGUGAUGCCUAGCUCCCCGAUCCCCCGUUUCGGGCCGACAGUGGAGAAGGAGGUCGAGGUGGCCCCUGAUGCAUUCUUUGAGGCGGAGAGAAUCAUCUCAAAGAUAACCGAUCAGACGAAGAUUAAAAAACUCUUCCUCACUCACAACAUCGCGCUGGGGAAAGCCUCCGUUAUUGCCCGAUCUGCCUCGGAUGGCGAGCGGAGCUGCGCGUCGCUCGACGAAUCGUUCGCGGCCUGGAGCGGUGAACACUUUAAGGCAGGGGCCUUCCUUCCCCUGGAUCAGUACUUUGCUGAUUUCCUGAACUACGUGGGGUUGGCCCCAUUUCAGUUCCCCCCCAACUCCUACCGUCUGUUGGCAGAGUUGAGGUACUUGUUCCAGAAGCAAGAGUGGGAGGUCCCCACUCCUGCGGAUAUUUUAUAUUUCUUUUGCCUUAAAGCCACCUCGGACCAGCGGGGGCGAGGCGACGGGUUUUACUAUUUGAUCCGUUUUCCCAACACGGCGGCGGUCAUCGAGCUGCCCAGCCACCCCAAUGAUUUCAAGGACCAGUUCUUAAUGUCAACGGGGUUCCGGAACUGCGAGCACCACUACUUCAAUCGUCCUCCCAUCUUCGCGAGGACAGAGAAAUCCGUGACCCUCGGGGCACAGUAUGAAACACUGGCGGGCUUGCCCCCCAGUGAGAAGGAUUAUCGCGUGCUCGUGACGGAUGAGACGAUGGUGGCUUGCAAGUUGAUUUUUCCGAAUCAAACCCUGAACCUAAAGAGGCCCAGGGGGUUGCCCCCAGCUCGCGACAUCAGACCUAUCAACAUGGAGGAGGUCGCGGAAGACGAAGGUGAGGAGGACGAGGGCGAUGAAGUUCCGCUCGUGAUGAAUAGGAAGAGGACCUUGGAGGUCGCCCAGAGGAUGGGCGAGGAGAGGAUCCAAUCCGGAGCAGCCGCGGGUCCUUCUGGCCAAGGUAACCCUUACUUGUUUAGGAGUCUAGAUAGGGCCGCUGCAGACCCUCGACUGGCUAGGUUCAAUCCUAGGUAGCUCGUCCAUCGUCACAGGAACGAUCCGAACCUGAACACGCUCCUGCUCCAUUGUGUCGACCGGCUCGUGCUGGACCACCAGGAGAGCCGGCCUAGGGGUACCGUAGUAGUAGAUAACACCUUAUCCUUUAGGUCGGUCCUUUUCCAGGAGUAUGGGACAAACCUGCGCACAUGGCCAUCACUCCAGAGGGGUAUCUAUGCUCUGGGGCUUAGGCAGUACGUAGGAGAAUCUAGCCCCGAAUCGGACCCGGGGCCAGAACCUGCGCCAGUUCGGGAAAUAAUCCUCUUAGGUUCUUCCAGCUCGGGGGGUAGGGCUCCCUUAGUAUUCGUAUAUUUUUUAGCUUUAACCUUUUGUCUUUAUCUCUGUAUGAUUGUUAACUUGUAAUAACCAUGUUUUUUGUUUGACAGAAGAGAUGUCUCAGCCCGAGGGGAGCUUGCGAGGCGCAGUCUUCGGGGGAAAGCCCUCAGCCGGGCCAAGACUGAAAAGGCUCCGGGGGUCCAGGAGCACUGCGGGGACCUCCACCAAGUCCCCGACAAAGGAGAAGGAGAAAACCCCGUCAGCCCAGGACGCGGGAGCGAUUCUUCCUGCUGCCGGAGCAGGCCAAAUGCCUCCACCACCUCAGCGAACUCCAACCGUCACCCAGGACGCAGGGAUGGAGCUCGGGGCUCCGGCUGCGGUGGCCUUCGAUGUGCGCAUCCCAGUCAACCCUCAGAACCUGGAGAAGAUCCCCGAGGCCUUCCGGGGAACGGUGUACGAAUCGGCGAACUACGCCGUUGACCAUAUCUAUAAGUUCACCGAGAAGGAGCUCCGGGCUAUUGAGACAAUGAGCCCGGUUGACGUAAUGGAGUCUUCAAUGAGCAUGACCCUAACGGGCGUCGUCGCUCUUCACCGGAGCAUCACCAGGGCCAAAACUCAGCUCGAGGAUAUGAGGACCGAGCACCAGGCCACCCUUCAGGAGGCCAAGGUGACUAAAGAUGCCUUGGCGACCUCGAAGGCCGAGUUGGAGAAGACCCGCUUGGAGGUCCAAGAGCUCAAGACCUCCCUUGCCACCUCGCGGAAAGAUCUCGAGGCUGCGAAGACUGAGAUCCAAGCCGCCCAGGUCACCCUGGAGGCCGAACGGGCCACAUCGGAGCAGUCCAUGCAGGAUUUGUUCUAUCACUGUUGGGCUUUCAACCCGGAGGCUGACUUCUCCUUCAUGUCACCGACCCUUUGGGCGAGCUUGCUGGUGAAGUUUCAAGCUCGCCUUGAGAAAGAGGCGCCGCCUUCGGAAACUGGGGAAGCCUCUAGCGCGGCGGAGCAGGGUGAAACAGCGACCUCCAAAGGGCCAACUGACGGAGCCUAGGGCGCUUUUUCUUUUUUGCCUUUGAAUAUUUUUAAGUUUUUUGUAUGUAACCUUUGCAUGAGGUGUUUUCACCUCGAGACAAUUUGCCUUGACGCCUUUAACUUACGUU